UACGAAGGGGGCUAGCGUUGUUCGGAAUCACUGGGCGUAAAGCGCACGUAGGCGGCUUUCUAAGUCAGGGGUGAAAUCCUGGAGCUCAACUCCAGAACUGCCUUUGAUACUGGAGAGCUUGAGUCCGGAAGAGGUGAGUGGAACUCCGAGUGUAGAGGUGAAAUUCGUAGAUAUUCGGAAGAACACCAGUGGCGAAGGCGGCUCACUGGUCCGGUACUGACGCUGAGGUGCGAAAGCGUGGGGAGCAAACAGGG
rnacentral:rRNA from 1 species